GGAUUGGGCCAUCCAGGCAAUGUGGAUAUUCUGCCAUGUACAUGAUAACCUAGGAUAUAAACCUAGGAUUCUUCGUCAACAUGCAUGAUGUUACCCUCUGCAAACUACUGUUGACAGAAAAGCUGAUACAUUGGGACAAUGGUUACAGCAAGUGUGAUGAAUAAAUCACCAUAGAUCAGUUGCCUUGCCUUCCCAAUUGCAACAAAGACGAAUCAUGGAGUCAAAAAUAUUAAAAGGCGCCAUUUCUAAAUCCCACCUGUCAAAAGAUUUGAAUGCAACAAUUUUUAUUCUGAACUGAUGCCUACCAAAUUCUUUUCCCAUAAAAUGAGGUGAUAUGAGGUUAUAAUGGAAAUUGCUGUUAAGACUGCCGAGACCAGCCCACGGAAGAUCUCUGUGGCCAAGACGAAGAAUUCUUCCAAACUUUCGUAUUCAAGUUUUGGCCAUGGUGAUCAUUUGCAACUGCAUAGCCUUUUAGAAGCUCCUGCCAGGAAUCUACAGGAAUAUGGCAGAUGAUGGAUUUAUGUACCAUGUAAGCUAUAUCAAUAAGAAUGUUUUAUGCUUAUCUAUGUUUUAUUUUCUUAAUUUAGAUUAAUAGCAACAGUGACCCUGCGAAGGUUUCUGGUUGGGAUGUGAUGACGAAAAGUUAUAAUAAUUUGAAGUACGGAAUUGAAUUUCCCUCCAUCAGCCGCCUGUGUAUUCCCGCGUAUUAUGGUAUUAAUUAUUUAAAAACUGAAGUGCAUAUCUGGGCUCCCUUCCUUUCCGUAGCCCCGUUUCCCCUUGACUCGUAAUAAGCCCGUAGGGGGUCAUGCCCCUACUGUACGGUAGAUAUAAAAAUAACAUAUACCGAGGUUUGGAGGGCUCUGGCCGGAAAGGGGACGUGGGGGUCCGCUUAGUCCGAUGAUGUGUUCACGGAGGGCGACGUGGCUAUCCACAAAUCCGAACUAAAGGUUAAUCGCUCCAGUAAAAAUGUUCCAAAUCUUCGGCUCUUCUUCCGGCUUCUCUUAGCCAAUCACCGGGUAAUCUCCCCGGUGGGUCAACAAGGCAGUGUCUCCCCCUGCCUGGGUUGACGGCAACUUUUGAAAGGGCUAUUGUGCCUUUUUAAAGUUGCAAAAAUAAUCUAAUGUG